GAAUUAUGUUUUUUUUAUUUGAUAGUAACUUCAACUCUUUCCUGGUUAGUUUUGUUCUAAUCAUUGAUAAGAAAAAUGCAACCCGAAAGCUGCCAACUAAACUCAAUAAUUACAAUGAAAAUAUUUUUUUCAUUUAAAAGAAAAGUAGUUUUGUUAAAUCUUCAAUUUUAAAGUAUACUUUACUCGGUUACAUAAAGAUAAAACCACAAAAAAAUUUUGAUUUCACGCUGAACAAAAGAAAAAAUAUUUAAUUGAUUUUUUUACACAAAACAUUUUUUGCAUACUCACGUUUCACGCGUAUAAAUUAUAAUGCUUCAUAUUGUAAAACGAGAUGACAUAAUUGAUCAAAAAUUAAUUGUUUAUUAAAAGUCUUAAGAGAAAAAAAAAAUUAUAUUAUGAACACGACAAGUACAAUGUUCCAGCCGGAUAUCGUCAAUUUGCAGCUUAUCGUCUUUUUUCAUUCAUUACUUAUUACAAAUUGACUAAUUAUUGAUUAGUUGGAAUGUGCAGACAAUUUUAGAUAAUAAGAAAUAACUUUGUAUCCCAAUAAGGGUAUUAAAAAAACAAUUUAAUUUUAUUUAAAUCGUGAAAUAAUGUAAAGUUCUUUUUUUGAUCUCCACGUGGGAUUAAAGAUAAUAAAGACAAAACAAAUAAGGUAACAUAAUAAACAAAUGAGGCAAUAUAAAAAAUAUUUUUUUUAAAGCAAUCAACAACAAUAAAAGAGCUUGAUUUUUUUAUAGAAUAUUUGAGAUUUGAACAAUAAUAAGAAUGAUCAAAUAUACUUUCAUAAUAUUUUUAAUGUAAAAAGAAUGCAAUAAAAAAACGAAGAGCAUGACUCAUAGCAGAGCAAGUGAUGACCUGUGAAGAUAGUGGACAUGCAGAAAUAGUCAAGUCAAUGAGCUUAGAGAAAUGGAUGUAUGAUAUAAGAUACUUUAACAAAAAGGCAAACUGGCACCGCAGCAUGAAUUAACCAAUCCGAUUAUGUUAAUAAGUUUAUAUUUUAUUAAACAUGUACGGGUUGUUAAAUCAACAUUUAUUCGGUUAAGUCCGUAAGAGAAACUUAAAGGUAGCGAUUACUAAACAGUGAACGGAUUUUGAAGUAAACCUAACAUUUAAUAAGCGACAGCCAAUUCAUUUGCUUUUACAAAACAAUUCACUAAUUCAUUUUUAUUUACCCAAGUUAGUAAUUAUUUAAUCAACGUUCUUUGUGUUUCAUUAAAACUAUUUACCUUCAGAAAUAUUAUAAAAACUAAAAA